rnacentral:rRNA from 1 species
UACGUAGGGUGCGAGCGUUAAUCGGAAUUACUGGGCGUAAAGCGUGCGCAGGCGGUGAUGUAAGACAGAUGUGAAAUCCCCGGGCUCAACCUGGGAACUGCAUUUGUGACUGCAUCGCUGGAGUGCGGAAGAGGGGGAUGGAAUUCCGCGUGUAGCAGUGAAAUGCGUAGAUAUGCGGAGGAACACCGAUGGCGAAGGCAAUCCCCGGGGCCUGCACUGACGCUCAUGCACGAAAGCGUGGGGAGCAAACAGG